rnacentral:snRNA from 1 species
GUUUUUUUUAGCAAAGCGCGUACUAAAAUUGGAACGAUACAGAGACGAUUAAUAUGGCCCUUGAGGCACGGUGAACUUUAGUUAUGUUCUUUU